GCUGGAAAUGGCCUUAGGGGUCACCUAGGGCCUAAUCCAUCGUUUCUCUUGUGGGGGAACUGAGCCUCUGGGAAGGGUCACAUUGCGUUAAUGCAGUGUGUGUCGCCUCUGUCCCUCCCCCUUACACGUCUGGCGUCUCGUCAGAUACAUGUCAGCUCCUGGGAGAAGCUUUCCCUGGCCGCUUUGCAGAAGGGCGUCCCCUUUUAGCCUCUUCCACGUCAACCUGCUCCAUUUCUUUCGUAGCAGUUACCAGUCUCUGAAACUAAGUCUGUUUCUGUCUUAGCCCGCCAAGUAUUUAUUGUAUACGUAUAUAGGUGCCACCGUACAGGCAGUACUUCUCCAGGCAAGUAGUAUUAAACACCAGCCGCCCUGGGCCAGGCAUUGUACUGUGGGACCCAGUAUGCAUUAAGGGAAGAAUCCAGGUUCAAAAUGAGCCUGUUUGGAACAACCUCAGGUUUUGGAACCAGUGGGACCAGCAUGUUUGGCAGUGCAACUACAGACAAUCACAAUCCCAUGAAGGAUAUUGAAGUAACAUCAUCUCCUGAUGAUAGCAUUGGUUGUCUGUCUUUUAGCCCACCAACCUUGCCGGGGAACUUUCUUAUUGCAGGAUCAUGGGCUAAUGAUGUUCGCUGCUGGGAAGUUCAAGACAGUGGACAGACCAUUCCAAAAGCCCAGCAGAUGCACACUGGGC
rnacentral:lncRNA from 1 species